GCCCUCGUAGCCCAAUGGUAGGGCGUCAGACUUCUAUUUUCCGAGGUUGGAAAAAGCAAAUCUGAAGGCUGCGGGUUCGAGUCCCGCCGGGGGUA
rfam:Ajellomyces capsulatus G186AR genomic scaffold supercont2.3, whole genome shotgun sequence.